UACGAAGGGAGCUAGCGUUGUUCGGAAUUACUGGGCGUAAAGGGCGCGUAGGCGGUUUGGCAAGUUGGAUGUGAAAGCCCAGGGCUCAACCCUGGAAUUGCAUUCAAGACUGCCUUACUUGAAUUCGGUAGAGGUUGGUGGAAUUCCCAGUGUAGAGGUGAAAUUCGUAGAGAUUGGGAAGAACACCCGUGGCGAAGGCGGCCAACUGGACCGACAUUGACGCUGAGGCGCGAAAGCGUGGGGAUCAAACAGG
rnacentral:rRNA from 1 species